AUUAUUAAUAUGGGAAAGGAGGAGACAAAGAUUUUUUUAAUUUUCAGAUAAUAAGAUUUUAUGUAUAUGGAUGAGCCUGGAGGACGUUAUGUUAAGUGAAAUAAGUCAAGUACAGAAAGGUAAAUAUCACAUGUUCUCACUCGCAUAUGGAAGCUAAAAAAGCUUGAUCUCAUAGAAGUAGAAAGUAAAAUGUUCGUGAAGCCCCAAGGUGGGUGUUGACGUGAUGUGAUUUCUGCCCAGUGCUCUGAAUGUCAAAGUGAAGAAAUUCAAUGAAGCGUGGGUAAAUGGCAGGAGUAACUAUGACUCUCUUAAGGUAGCCAAAUGCCUCAUCAUCUAAUUAGUGAUGCUCAUGAAUCACUGUCCCUACCAACUAACCAGCAAAACCACAGCCAAGGGAACAGGCUUGG
rnacentral:ncRNA from 1 species